GGGCCGGCACAGGGAAGGCUGAGGAGCAAGAGUUUGGUGCCUCUUCCAUUAGUAGUAGUAGUAGUAGUAGUAGUAGUAAUACAGCCGGAGCUCCUAGAGCUGCUCAGGACAGCGAGCCUCACUUACAAAGGACGAUUCUUUCACUUACUUUGCCUGGGAAUUAAACAAAACCAAAAGCCCCCACAACGCUAAAACAUAUUUUGGAGACACUCCCUCCUUUCCCGGACAAUACUCUGUGACUUAGACGAGCGGUAGUAAGGGAAGUAUAGUUGGACAAUUGGGCGUGACUGAAUUUGGACCAUAGCGCUCCCGGCAAAGGAUGGACCCUUAAGAUCCUGGCGGAGACCUGCGCUCCUCGCCGCUUGGCUCUAGACUGCAAUGCCCGAGACUAUCCUUGGGUAAAGGAAAACCUAUCUCGGGGUGGACAGGCGAUACACUUCAAAAAUGUCAUCUGGACCUCACCCCUUCCCAUAAUUUGGAACUUGUACACGUGCUGCCGGCAAGCGGGUCUGAGGAGCAACCCCGCGGACCACAGCUGGCCCCGCACCCGCCGUCCUGCGCUGCUAACCAAGUCUCCGCCUGGGAAGUUCCAGGCAGCAGGAAAUGGUACCCUCCCCUCCCGUUUUCGUUCUCGCUCUCAAAACGCUCGCCUCAGUAAGCAGGGAGUCUCAUUUGAGGGGCAAUCUGCUUGGAAAUGGGUGGGGAAAUACACCCACUUACUAGGGUGACUCCCGAGAAUAAUUUUCGAGGAUUUCUUUACUGAGAGACUAUAAGGUUAUAAUUAAAAAGCGAAACGAAAUUUUAA